rnacentral:rRNA from 1 species
UAAUGCCUAGGAAUCUGCCUGGUAGUGGGGGAUAACGUCCGGAAACGGGCGCUAAUACCGCAUACGUCCUGAGGGAGAAAGUGGGGGAUCUUCGGACCUCACGCUAUCAGAUGAGCCUAGGUCGGAUUAGCUAGUUGGUGGGGUAAAGGCCUACCAAGGCGACGAUCCGUAACUGGUCUGAGAGGAUGAUCAGUCACACUGGAACUGAGACACGGUCCAGACUCCUACGGGAGGCAGCAGUGGGGAAUAUUGGACAAUGGGCGAAAGCCUGAUCCAGCCAUGCCGCGUGUGUGAAGAAGGUCUUCGGAUUGUAAAGCACUUUAAGUUGGGAGGAAGGGCAGUAAGUUAAUACCUUGCUGUUUUGACGUUACCAACAGAAUAAGCACCGGCUAACUUCGUGCCAGCAGCCGCGGUAAUACGAAGGGUGCAAGCGUUAAUCGGAAUUACUGGGCGUAAAGCGCGCGUAGGUGGUUCAGCAAGUUGGAUGUGAAAUCCCCGGGCUCAACCUGGGGAACUGCAUCCAAAACUACUGAGCUAGAGUACGGUAGAGGGUGGUGGAAUUUCCUGUGUAGCGGUGAAAUGCGUAGAUAUAGGAAGGAACACCAGUGGCGAAGGCGACCACCUGG